rnacentral:lncRNA from 1 species
AAAAUAUACAUUUGAGAACUUGCUCUGCUGUCGCUUUCAUGGUCUGCUAUCCAUACUCCACUUGCAGUAUAUAUAUUAUUAGUAAAGGAAAUUUUAUGGUUUUUUCGUUUGGUUGGGACUCAUAAGGAAACCCAAUCAUGGUAUAAAAAUUCUGGGUAACAAAUACGAUGUUUAGUUUGCAACAUAGAACUCUACAUUACUAAA